rnacentral:rRNA from 1 species
GACUUGAGUGCAGAAGGGGAGAGUGGAAUUCCAUGUGUAGCGGNGAAAUGCGUAGAUAUAUGGAGGANCACCAGUGGCGAAAGCGGCUCUNUGGUCUGUCACUGACACUGAGGCUCGAAAGCGUGGGUAGCGANCAGGAUUAGAUACCCUGGUAGUNCACGCCGUAAACGAUGAGUGCUAGGUGUUAGGCCCUUUCCGGGGCUUAGUGCCGGAGCUAACGCAAUAAGCACUCCGCCUGGGGAGUACGACCGCAAGGUUGAAACUCAAAGGAAUUGACGGGGGCCCGCACAAGCGGUGGAGCAUGUGGUUUAAUUCGAAGCAACGCGAAGAACCUUACCAGGUCUUGACAUCCCGAUGCUAUUCUUAGAGAUAGGAAGUUACUUCGGUACAUCGGAGACAGGUGGUGCAUGGUUGUCGUCAGCUCGUGUCGUGAGAUGUUGGGUUAAGUCCCGCAACGAGCGCAACCCUUAUUGUUAGUUGCCAUCAUUAAGUUGGGCACUCUAGCGAGACUGCCGGUAAUAAACCGGAGGAAGGUGGGGAUGACGUCAAAUCAUCAUGCCCCUUAUGACCUGGGCUACACACGUGCUACAAUGGUCGGUACAACGAGUUGCGAGCCGGUGACGGCAAGCUAAUCUCUGAAAGCCGAUCUCAGUUCGGAUUGGAGGCUGCAACUCGCCUCCAUGAAGUCGGAAUCGCUAGUAAUCGCGGAUCAGCACGCCGCGGUGAAUACGUUCCCGGGCCUUGUACACACCGCCCGUCACACCACGAGAGUUUGUAACACCCGAAGUCGGUGAGNU